rnacentral:rRNA from 1 species
CUCAUGGUCGAGAGGGAAACAGCCCAGAGCAUCGACUAAGGCCCCUAAGCGUGUGCUAAGUGGGAAAGGAUGUGGAGUCGCAGAGACAACCAGGAGGUUGGCUUAGAAGCAGCCACCCUUGAAAGAGUGCGUAAUAGCUCACUGGUCAAGUGAUUCCGCGCCGACAAUGUAGCGGGGCUCAAGCACACCGCCGAAGUCAUGUCAUUGCGAUAUUACCCCCAACGGGGAUCGUGAUGGGUAGGGGAGCGUCGUGUGCCGGGUGAAGCAGCCGCGGAAGCGAGUUGUGGACGGUUCACGAGUGAGAAUGCAGGCAUGAGUAGCGAUACAAGAGUGGGAAACUCUUGCGCCGAUUGACUAAGGGUUCCUGGGUCAAGCUGAUCUGCCCAGGGUAAGUCGGGACCUAAGGCGAGGCCGACAGGCGUAGUCGAUGGACAACCGGUUGAUAUUCCGGUACCCGCUUUGAAGCGCCAAACAUUGAAUCAGGCGAUGCUAAGUCCGUGAAGCCGCCGUGGAUCCUUCGGGUGAAGCGGAGUGGUGGAGCCGACGGACCAGACUUGUAGUAGGUGAGUGAUGGGGUGACGCAGGAAGGUAGUCCAGCCCGGGCGGUGGUUGUCCCGGGGUAAGGGUGUAGGGCGCUGUCUAGGCAAAUCCGGACAGCUUGAAGCCUGAGACCUGAUGCCGAGCCGAUUGUGGUGAAGUGGAUGAUCCUAUGCUGUCGAGAAAAGCCUCUAGCGAGUUUCAUGGCGGCCCGUACCCUAAACCGACUCAGGUGGUCAGGUAGAGAAUACCGAGGCGUUCGGGUGAACUAUGGUUAAGGAACUCGGCAAAAUGCCCCCGUAACUUCGGGAGAAGGGGGGCCAUUUCCGGUGAUGRGAUUURCUCUCUGAGCUGGGGGUGGCCGCAGAGACCAGCGAGAAGCGACUGUUUACUAAAAACACAGGUCCGUGCGAAGCCGUAAGGCGAUGUAUACGGACUGACGCCUGCCCGGUGCUGGAACGUUAAGGGGACCGGUUAGUCAUGAUUCGUCGUGGCGAG